GGGGAUGCGCGGGGGAUGCGCGGGGGAUGCAGCGCCCAGCCCACGCCGCGGUUUCCACACCACCCCCCUUCUGCAGGAAACGGGUAGCCGUGGUGAUGGAGUUCUCUUAAGCCAAGCAGCGCCAGCAUCCCUUGGAAAGUUUUCCCGCCCCAAAGCAGAAAGAAAGUGUGGCUUGUGCGGCUGAUGGAGCCAGCCUUUUUGGAAUCUGAAUAAGAGCUUUCACUUAAUGCACAUCGCUGUACUGCCUUGAGCAGCCUGCUGAAACCA